rnacentral:rRNA from 1 species
AUUGAACGCUGGCGGCAUGCCUUACACAUGCAAGUCGAACGGUAACGGAUCCUUCGGGAUGCCGACGAGUGGCGAACGGGUGAGUAAUACAUCGGAACGUGCCUGGUAGUGGGGGAUAACUACUCGAAAGAGUGGCUAAUACCGCAUGAGAUCUCAGGAUGAAAGCAGGGGACCUUCGGGCCUUGCGCUAUCAGAGCGGCCGAUGGCAGAUUAGGUAGUUGGUGGGAUAAAAGCUUACCAAGCCGACGAUCUGUAGCUGGUCUGAGAGGACGAUCAGCCACACUGGGACUGAGACACGGCCCAGACUCCUACGGGAGGCAGCAGUGGGGAAUUUUGGACAAUGGGCGCAAGCCUGAUCCAGCAAUGCCGCGUGCAGGAUGAAGGCCUUCGGGUUGUAAACUGCUUUUGUACGGAACGAAAAGCUUCGGGCUAAUACCCUGGAGUCAUGACGGUACCGUAAGAAUAAGCACCGGCUAACUACGUG